rnacentral:rRNA from 1 species
UACGGAGGGUGCAAGCGUUAUCCGGAUUCACUGGGUUUAAAGGGUGCGUAGGAGGGCAGGGAAGUCAGUGGUGAAAUCUCCGGGCUUAACUCGGAAACUGCCGUUGAUACUCUCUGUCUUGAAUACCGUGGAGGUGAGCGGAAUAUGUCAUGUAGCGGUGAAAUGCUUAGAUAUGAACAUAGUAACACCAAUUGCGAAAGGCAGCACACCUACAU